CUUUUCAACACCUUGGCGCUGGCCUUCGUAGCCAUUUGCUUGAAGGUCAACUCAGACGGGUGGAAGAGGCAAUGUAUUGACGUCUUCCUCCAUUUUCCGACCAUUCUCUAGGCACCACAGAGGCAUCAAUGCUCUGCCUGUUUCUGCCGUGUGGGUUGGUCCUCAAGCAACGGGCUACGAGGACCAAUGUCAAUAAGCAUCAAC
rnacentral:pre_miRNA from 1 species